GGAAGGGGUGUAUUUAUUAGAUUAAAAACCAAUGCCCUUCGGGGCUCCUUGGUGAUUCAUAAUAACUUAACGAAUCGCAUGGCCUUGCGCCGGCGAUGGUUCAUUCAAAUUUCUGCCCUAUCAACUUUCGAUGGUAGGAUAGUGGCCUACCAUGGUCUUAACGGGUAACGGGGAAUUAUGGGUUCGAUUCCGGAGAGGGAGCCUGAGAAACGGCUACCACAUCCAAGGAAGGCAGCAGGCGCGCAAAUUACCCAAUCCCGACACGGGGAGGUAGUGACAAUAAAUACUGAUACGGGGCUCUUUCGGGUCUCGUAAUUGGAAUGAGUACAAUCUAAAUCCCUUAACGAGGAACAAUUGGAGGGCAAGUCUGGUGCCAGCAGCCGCGGUAAUUCCAGCUCCAAUAGCGUAUAUUAAAUUUGUUGCAUUUAAAAAGCUCGUAGUUGAACCUUGGGCCUGGCUGGCCGGUCCGCCUCACCGCGUGCACUGGUCCGGCCGGGCCUUUCCUUCUGGCAGAACCCCAUGGCCUUCGUUGGCCGUGGCGGGGAACCAGGACUUUUAC
rnacentral:rRNA from 1 species